UACGAAGGAGGCAAGCGUUAUCCGGAAUUAUUGGGCGUAAAGCGUCCGCAGGCGGUUAGUCAAGUCUGUUGUUAAAGCGUGAGGCUCAACCUCAUACCGGCAAUGGAAACUGACAGACUAGAGUGCAGUAGGGGUAGCGGGAACUCCCGGUGUAGCGGUGAAAUGCGUAGAUAUCGGGAAGAACACCAGAGGCGAAGGCGCGCUACUGGGCUGUAACUGACGCUCAUGGACGAAAGCUAGGGGAGCGAAAGGG
rnacentral:rRNA from 1 species